rnacentral:rRNA from 1 species
UACGUAGGGUGCAAGCGUUGUCCGGAAUUAUUGGGCGUAAAGAGCUCGUAGGUGGCGGAUCACGUCGGGUGUGAAAGCCCGGGGCUUAACCCCGGGUCUGCAUUCGAUACGGGCUUGCUAGGGUCCGGCAGGGGAGACUGGAAUUCCUGGUGUAGCGGUGAAAUGCGCAGAUAUCAGGAGGAACACCGGUGGCGAAGGCGAGUCUCUGGACAGAUUCUGACGCUGAGGCACGAAGGCCAGGGGAGCAAACGGG